CCGCGUGAGUGAUGAAGGUUUUCGGAUCGUAAAGCUCUGUUGUUAGGGAAGAACAAGUGCCGUUCAAAUAGGGCGGCACUUUGACGGUACCUAACCAGAAAGCCACGGCUAACUACGUGCCAGCAGCCGCGGUAAUACGUAGGUGGCAAGCGUUGUCCGGAAUUAUUGGGCGUAAAGGGCUCGCAGGCGGUUUCUUAAGUCUGAUGUGAAAGCCCCCGGCUCAACCGGGGAGGGUCAUUGGAAACUGGGGAACUUGAGUGCAGAAGAGGAGAGUGGAAUUCCACGUGUAGCGGUGAAAUGCGUAGAGAUGUGGAGGAACACCAGUGGCGAAGGCGACUCUCUGGUCUGUAACUGACGCUGAGGAGCGAAAGCGUGGGGAGCGAACAGGAUUAGAUACCCUGGUAGUCCACGCCGUAAACGAUGAGUGCUAAGUGUUAGGGGGUUUCCGCCCCUUAGUGCUGCAGCUAACGCAUUAAGCACUCCGCCUGGGGAGUACGGUCGCAAGACUGAAACUCAAAGGAAUUGACGGGGGCCCGCACAAGCGGUGGAGCAUGUGGUUUAAUUCGAAGCAACGCGAAGAACCUUACCAGGUCUUGACAUCCUCUGACAAUCCUAGA
rnacentral:rRNA from 1 species